rnacentral:misc_RNA from 1 species
UUGAUUCAUUUAUAAUGCCACUCAGAAGAUUCUAUAAAAACAAGAGUUUGGGUCCCCGGCGGGCGCCUUGGCCCGGGAGCGAGUCCCGGGGCGGUCCGCCGAAGCAACGAUAGGUAUGUUCACAGGGGUUUGGGAGUUGUAAACUCGAUAAUGAUCCCUCCGCUGGUUCACCAACGGAGA